rnacentral:rRNA from 1 species
GUCCACGCCCUAAACGAUGAUUACUCGACAUACGCGAUACACAGUGUGUGUCUGAGCGAAAGCAUUAAGUAAUCCACCUGGGAAGUACGACCGCAAGGUUGAAACUCAAAGGAAUUGACGGGGGUCGCACAAGCGGUGGAGCAUGUGGUUUAAUUCGAUGAUACGCGAGGAACCUUACCUGGGCUAGAAUGCUACCUGACCGGUCCUGAAAGGGGCUUUUAUAGCAAUAUACAGGUAGUAAGGUGCUGCAUGGCUGUCGU